UUUUCGAACGGGAUACACUCGUGAACCCUCCCACAAGCACCUCCCUGUUCUGACGUCAGUGGGGACACAUGUCUCGGAAUGUGCGCAUCCUUCACACUGAUUGGCGCAGGCAGCACUGUCAACACGCACAGCUCCUCCCUCUUCUGCUCAGAGCUCAUCUUCCCCCUUUAGCUUGCCUUUUGGUAGACUCAUUUUGCCAGCGUAAGCAUUCUGACCUCUGCCGUGGGGGAGGGGCGCGGGGGGGAGGGCCAUCUUUCCAAGCGAUCACACCCCGAGCCUUUGAAGACAGCUCUUUGGAGAACUCACAGACCUCAGGGGACAACUCUGGAAAUCCACACACAGCCCUGGAGAAGGAGAAAGGUUAGAGCCUGAUUUGGCACCAUGGAGACGCCAAUGAACCAAUGGGUAGCUUCAGGAACCAUAGGCAAAGUGACCUCUUCCUUUGGUGGUGACCUUCCUGCGUCUUUGAUGAGGCCCGGUGAGAUGGCACUCCAGGCCCGGUCUUGUGCGGCACUCGGCACCCACAAAGUCAGGCGUCUUCUCGGAUGCUUGCUCUUUCAUUUAUCAUCAAAGAGAAUUUAAAGAAAAAAAAAGGCAAACUUUCUAAGCUAGGAAAAAAAAAACCGAAAUGAAAUCAUUUUCCACUUUGUAUAUAUUGCUCUUAAUAAAACAGUUGUAAAAGAA
rnacentral:lncRNA from 1 species